rnacentral:rRNA from 1 species
UACGUAGGGCGCAAGCGUGUCCGGAAUUAUUGGGCGUAAAGAGCUCGUAGGCGGCUUGUCACGUCGGGUGUGAAAGCCCCGGGGCUUAACCCCGGGUCUGCAUUCGAUACGGGCUAGCUAGAGUGUGGUAGGGGAGAUCGAAUUCCUGGUGUAGCGGUGAAAUGCGCAGAUAUCAGGAGGAACACCGGUGGCGAAGGCGCCUUGCUGGCCAAUUUCUGACGCUGAGACGCGAAAGCGUGGGGAGCAAACGGG